rnacentral:rRNA from 1 species
GCAUGGGGAGCAAACAGGAUUAGAUACCCUGGUAGUCCAUGGCCGUAAACGAUGUCUACUAGCCGUUGGGGCCUUUGAGGCUUUAGUGGCGCAACUAACGCGAUAAGUAGACCGCCUGGGGAGUACGGUCGCAAGACUUAAAACUCAAAGGAAUUGACGGGAAUC